rfam:Brachypodium distachyon strain Bd21 chromosome 4, whole genome shotgun sequence.
UAUCUACUCCCUCCCUCCAACAAAAGAUGUCUCAAGUUGUCAAAAUUUGGAUGUAUCUAGACAUGACUUAGUUUAUAGAUGCAUUCAAAUUUAGUCAAAAUUGAGACAUCGUUGUUUAUUGGACAGAGGGAGUAGUAC